rnacentral:rRNA from 1 species
GACGAACGCUGGCGGCGUGCCUAAUACAUGCAAGUCGAGCGAAGUUUUUUUGGUGCUUGCACUAGAAAAACUNAGCGGCGAACGGGUGAGUAACACGUAAAGAACCUGCCUCAUAGACUGGGACAACUAUUGGAAACGAUAACUAAUACCGGAUAACAGCAUUAACUGCAUGGUUGAUGUUUGAAAGUUGGUUUUGCUAACACUAUGAGAUGGCUUUGCGGUGCAUUAGCUAGUUGGUGGGGUAAAGGCCUACCAAGGCGACGAUGCAUAGCCGACCUGAGAGGGUGAUCGGCCACACUGGGACUGAGACACGGCCCAGACUCCUACGGGAGGCAGCAGUAGGGAAUCUUCCGCAAUGGGCGAAAGCCUGACGGAGCAACGCCGCGUGAGUGAAGAAGGAUUUCGGUU